rnacentral:lncRNA from 1 species
GGGAAAAUGUGGAGUGUCAGUCAAGAGGCAACACUAGGAGGCAAGGAAUCUGCAUUUCUUUCAGACCUUGGCAGAGAGCGCCCUGGGAAAUGCGGAUAUAGAAGGUCAGGAGAACAUCUCUCCUGGUUAUACAGCAUUCCAGCACCUCUUCAAGUGAGAUGGCAGACCACCUCAGGAUGGAAAUGUAUUUCUUCAUCCCCCUCUCUACUUCCCUGUGACCUCCUGCAAAUAAGGGAGAGACAAAGAGAAGAGCAGAAGAACAGAAGAAUGGAGUGGCAAAGAGAAGAGAAGGAGUGACUGAACAUUGACAAGACUUUGGUUGGGGAUGGUCAGAGAGGAGAUUAGCUGCUAGACGGCCACACUGCGGAGAAAGAUCAUUUUCCCACUCCAUCCCCCUUCCAGCUCCCCAUCCAUCUCACCAAGAGCCAGCUCCACCACUCAAUAAAACCUUACAUUCAUCUUUCA